rnacentral:rRNA from 1 species
UUUAUUGGAGAGUUUGAUCCUGGCUCAGGAUGAACGCUGGCGGCGUGCCUAAUACAUGCAAGUCGAGCGAAUGGAUUAAGAGCUUGCUCUUAUGAAGUUAGCGGCGGACGGGUGAGUAACACGUGGGUAACCUGCCCAUAAGACUGGGAUAACUCCGGGAAACCGGGGCUAAUACCGGAUAACAUUUUGAACCGCAUGGUU